AUUGAACGCUGGCGGAAUGCUUUACACAUGCAAGUCGAACGGCAGCACGGACUUCGGUCUGGUGGCGAGUGGCGAACGGGUGAGUAAUGUAUCGGAACGUGCCCAGUCGUGGGGGAUAACGUAGUGAAAAUUACGCUAAUACCGCAUACGAUCUAUGGAUGAAAGCGGGGGAUCGCAAGACCUCGCGCGAUUGGAGCGGCCGAUAUCAGAUUAGGUAGUUGGUGGGGUAAAGGCCCACCAAGCCAACGAUCUGUAGCUGGUCUGAGAGGACGACCAGCCACACUGGAACUGAGACACGGUCCAGACUCCUACGGGAGUCAGCAGGGGGGAAUUUUGGACAAUGGGCGAAAGCCUGAUCCAGCCAUUCCGCGUGCAGGAUGAAGGCCCUCGGGUUGUAAACUGCUUUCGUACAGAACGAAAAGGUUUCUACUAAUACUAGGAGCUCAUGACGGUACUGUAAGAAUAAGCACCGGCUAACUACGUGCCAGCCGCCGCGGUAA
rnacentral:rRNA from 1 species